AAUAUUUAAUAUUGGAAUAUCAUCUACUUAGAAUAACUUUUUUAAUUACAAUGUUUGUGUAAGUCUACCUGACUGGUUGAAAAAUUACACUUUUCUGUUUUCUGCGGUAAGCAUUAUGUAGUCAAAGCUCUGAUUUUUGUAUAUAGUGUACAGCAGAUGGUUUUCAAAAGCCCAUUUGGCAUUUUCUUCUCAGUUUCCUAAUUACAGGAUUAUGCCAGGACAGAGCUGAUUCCUUCCCUGUACCUGCAGAUGUUCUCUUGGAAUACCACUAAGCCUUGGGACACCCAGAUAUCCUGCCUUCCCAGCCUUGACUCCAUAGGAAAGCAGUGGAAAGAGGGAAGAUAUUGCUAUGCCAUUCUGCCAUUCUUUCUCUAGUGACACAAGGAUGGAUCCAGAAACUCUGGACCUCAAAAUAACCUGUGGUAAUAUGAGGAGAUGAGAAUCCAGCAUCUGCAUCUUACAGAGAUCUCCAAACAUAAAAUGUGAAGGGGGAAAAUAACAAC
rnacentral:lncRNA from 1 species